AGAGUUUGAUCCUGGCUCAGAAUGAACGCUGGCGGCGUGCCUAACACAUGCAAGUCGAAUGUGCCGCAAGGUGCAUGGCAGACGGGUGAGUAACGCGUAGGGAAUCUACCUUUUAGUGGGGAAUAACGCUCCGAAAGGAGUGGUAAUACCGCAUGAGACCGUAGUCUGGGAUGACUACGGUGAAACCUGGGGACCGCAAGGCCUGGGGCUAAAAGAGGAUCCUGCGUCUGAUUAGCUAGUUGGCGGGGUAAUGGCCCACCAAGGCGACGAUCAGUAGCCGGCCUGAGAGGGUGAUCGGCCACACUGGAACUGAGACACGGUCCAGACUCCUACGGGAGGCAGCAGUGGGGAAUUUUGCGCAAUGGACGAAAGUCUGACGCAGCAACGCCGCGUGGGUGAUGAAGGUCUUCGGACUGUAAAACCCUGUCGUCAGGGACGAAGGUUGGGGGGUUAAUAGCCCUUUAGCUUGACGGUACCUGGAGAGGAAGCCCCGGCUAACUCUGUGCCAGCAGCCGCGGUAAUACGGAGGGUGCAAGCGUUAUCCGGAUUUAUUGGGUUUAAAGGGUGCGUAGGCGGUGAAAUAAGUCAGUGGUGAAAAGCUGCAGCUCAACUGUAGUCCUGCCAUUGAAACUGUUUUACUUGAGUAACCAUGAGGUAGGCGGAAUGUGUAGUGUAGCGGUGAAAUGCUUAGAUAUUACACAGAACACCGAUUGCGUAGGCAGCUUACUAGAGGUUCACUGACGCUGAUGCACGAAAGCGUGGGGAUCAAACAGGAUUAGAUACCCUGGUAGUCC
rnacentral:rRNA from 1 species